UACGAAGGGGGCUAGCGUUGCUCGGAAUCACUGGGCGUAAAGGGUGCGUAGGCGGGUUUUUAAGUCAGGGGUGAAAUCCUGGAGCUCAACUCCAGAACUGCCUUUGAUACUGAAGAUCUUGAGUCCGGGAGAGGUGAGUGGAACUGCGAAUGUAGAGGUGAAAUUCGUAGAUAUUCGCAAGAACACCAGUGGCGAAGGCGGCUCACUGGCCCGGUACUGACGCUGAGGCACGAAAGCGUGGGGAGCAAACAGG
rnacentral:rRNA from 1 species